rnacentral:rRNA from 1 species
UACGGAGGGUCCAAGCGUUAUCCGGAAUCAUUGGGCUUAAAGGGUCCGUAGGCGGUUUUGUAAGUCAGGGGUGAAAGCCCAUCGCUCAACGGUGGAACGGCCAUUGAUACUGCAAGACUUGAAUUAUUGGGAAGUAACUAGAAUAUGUAGUGUAGCGGUGAAAUGCUUAGAGAUUACAUGGAAUACCAAUUGCGAAGGCAGGUUACUACUAAUGGAUUGACGCUGAUGGACGAAAGCGUGGGGAGCGAACAGG